GCUAUUUUGAAACCUAGACAUUAAAAAUGCGUAGGUUGAGAUUUUGCAUUUGCCUUACACUCAUAUUGCUUUUGUUUUUGAGGUCCGAAACUCGCCCCCUUAAUCCUAACAUAGAGGGAAGCAAUCAAUUCAGAUCAUUGCUAGCAUUGGUCCAAGAUGCUAAGGAAAUGCUGAACUAUGAUUCGCAAAGUGAAGAUACAACCCCACAUCGGGACCCCGCACGAGAGAUUCCAGGAGGUCCUGAUGCAAAGCAUCAUUAUAAACAUCAAAAGUAAUGAACUUCAAUGGGAGCUGGAGGAAGUUUGGCUACGAGUUCUUCAUGGAGGAGAGAAGUAUUCUAUAUAUAAUGACAGUGAACGUGGCUGUUUAAUAUUA